rnacentral:rRNA from 1 species
CCUACGGGUGGCAGCAGUCGAGAAUCAUUCACAAUGGGGGAAACCCUGAUGGUGCGACGCCGCGUGGGGGAAUGAAGGUCUUCGGAUUGUAAACCCCUGUCAUGUGGGAGCAAAUUAAAAAGAUAGUACCCCAAGAGGAAGAGACGGCUAACUCUGUGCCAGCAGCCGCGGUAAUACAGAGGUCUCAAGCGUUGUUCGGAAUCACUGGGCGUAAAGCGUGCGUCGGCUGUUUCGUAAGUCGUGUGUGAAAGGCGCGGGCUCAACCCGCGGACGGCAGAUGAUACUGGGAGACUAGAGUAAUGGAGGGGGAACCGGAAUUCUCGGUGUAGCAGUGAAAUGCGUAGAUAUCGAGAGGAACACUCGUGGCGAAGGCGGGUUCCUGGACAUUAACUGACGCUGAGGCACGAAGGCCAGGGGAGCGAAAGGGAUUAGAUACCCCAGUAGUC